rnacentral:rRNA from 1 species
GAUCCUGGCUCAGAUUGAACGCUGGCGGCAUGCCUUACACAUGCAAGUCGAACGGCAGCACGGGUGCUUGCACCUGGUGGCGAGUGGCGAACGGGUGAGUAAUACAUCGGAACAUGUCCUGUAGUGGGGGAUAGCCCGGCGAAAGCCGGAUUAAUACCGCAUACGAUCUAUGGAUGAAAGCGGGGGACCUUCGGGCCUCGCGCUAUAGGGUUGGCCGAUGGCUGAUUAGCUAGUUGGUGGGGUAAAGGCCUACCAAGGCGACGAUCAGUAGCUGGUCUGAGAGGACGACCAGCCACACUGGGACUGAGACACGGCCCAGACUCCUACGGGAGGCAGCAGUGGGGAAUUUUGGACAAUGGGCGAAAGCCUGAUCCAGCAAUGCCGCGUGUGUGAAGAAGGCCUUCGGGUUGUAAAGCACUUUUGUCCGGAAAGAAAUCCUUGGCUCUAAUACAGUCGGGGGAUGACGGUACCGGAAGAAUAAGCACCGGCUAACUAC